rnacentral:lncRNA from 1 species
GAAAGCUAUCCUUGGGGCAUGCCUUGUUCAGGUCGGUGUAGUCGACGCACAUCCUCCACUUUCCGCUCGCCUUCCGGACAAGUACGACAUUUGCCAACCAUUCGGGGUAGCUGACCUCCCUUAUGAAUCCUGCCUCCAAGAGUUUGUCUACCUCCUAGUCGACCACUCGAAUCCGAUCCGGGGCACAGUGUCUCUUCUUCUGUUUUACCGGUCGGUGGGUCGGGUCGACGUUGAGGGCGUGAGAAAUGACCUCCGGGUCGAUCCCAGGUACAUCGGCCGCCGACCAGGCAAACACAUCGACAUUGGCUCGGAGGAAUUCCACCAACCAGGCCCGAGCUCCCAGGUCGAGAUUG